GACGAACGCUGGCGGCGUGCUUAACACAUGCAAGUCGAACGGAAAGGCCCUGCUUUUGUGGGGUGCUCGAGUGGCGAACGGGUGAGUAACACGUGAGUAACCUGCCCUUGACUUUGGGAUAACUUCAGGAAACUGGGGCUAAUACCGGAUAGGAGCUCCUGCUGCAUGGUGGGGGUUGGAAAGUUUCGGCGGUUGGGGAUGGACUCGCGGCUUAUCAGCUUGUUGGUGGGGUAGUGGCUUACCAAGGCUUUGACGGGUAGCCGGCCUGAGAGGGUGACCGGCCACAUUGGGACUGAGAUACGGCCCAGACUCCUACGGGAGGCAGCAGUGGGGAAUAUUGCACAAUGGGCGGAAACCUGAUGCAGCAACGCCGCGUGCGGGAUGAAGGCCUUCGGGUUGUAAACCGCUUUCGCCUGUGACGAAGCGUGAGUGACGGUAAUGGGUAAAGAAGCACCGGCUAACUACGUG
rnacentral:rRNA from 1 species